UUCAGUUUUUUAAUAUUUGUUCCAGAUUUUAAUAAAAUGUAUCCUUAACGUUUCGUUAAGGAUCUAGCUUCGAGUCACCCUAUAUAUCUUUAUUAGAGGGGGUGUUGACCGUUGAGGGUGGGUGGCAAAAAGUUCAUCGACGGAGGGACAAAACUCUUCUUUUCACUGACGUUAUUGUAUAGAGAUUAUGCAGAUUUGGAUGUUACCGUCGUGCGCGGAGAAGUGCCGUUCCCCACGUGACCGCGGUGCUUUUGGACCGCGAGGAGACAGAGGAUGCCGGCUCUAAAUUCUAAUCUAGGACCAACCAAGCCCGGAGUUCGGGGGCGCAGUCUCCCCUCGCCUCUUCUUUCACAUCCCCGAGGCUCGGCUUUACGGCUCAUUUAGCGAUUCGCUUAUUUGCGAGCAAGAAGUCGCAGGCGCGUACACGCGUACGCGUGGCUUUACGCUUUGCCCGCGCGUAAUCACGAGAAGAGGGAUGACACGACGGCGAGGAGAGAAGCAAGAGGAACAAGAAGAAGCGAAAGGGAGCGGAUGAGAAAUAGAGAGGUUACCGCUGCGGGCGAAUCCGCUUGUUGGGUUCCGCGUGCGGGACGGAGGGUGGAUAUAAGUCCGGGCCGAAACUUAACGACGUAAUGAACGUCUGACGGAGGAUUAUUUAUCGACGGCAACGGAGCAACGGAAGGGCCGAGCGAGGCAUCGACCAAGGAGAACGGGAAGAAAGACGAACGAUCGGCACCGUGGACAAAAUUGGCACGGUAAUUAGCGAGGGGCGAAGGGGACUCGCGGCUUCUUCCAAUCGAAGCGCACAAUACCUCGAUGAAAUUUCUUUGCGCUAAUUGUGACGUUGAUUCGCAGUGGAUCGACAUAAUGCGCGUGCAUAUUAGGAGAGAAAAUGUACCAAGAGAGAAAGAAAGUAAGCACGUUGAUGUUAGAAAAUUAUGUAAAUAUGGACCUGAGUAUUAAUUUAUCUAUAAGAAUUGUAAGAAAAUAUAAGAAAAGAGACAUACAAUUAUUUCCCGAAAGUCAUUUUGAAAUGCCAAACUUAUUCAAUGUAGACUUACGACGUAAGUCAAUAUUACAA